GACGAACGCUGGCGGCGUGCCUAAUACAUGCAAGUAGAACGCUGAAGCUUGGUGCUUGCACCGAGCGGAUGAGUUGCGAACGGGUGAGUAACGCGUAGGUAACCUGCCUGGUAGCGGGGGAUAACUAUUGGAAACGAUAGCUAAUACCGCAUAAGAGUAGAUGUUGCAUGACAUUUGCUUAAAAGGUGCAAUUGCAUCACUACCAGAUGGACCUGCGUUGUAUUAGCUAGUUGGUGAGGUAACGGCUCACCAAGGCAACGAUACAUAGCCGACCUGAGAGGGUGAUCGGCCACACUGGGACUGAGACACGGCCCAGACUCCUACGGGAGGCAGCAGUAGGGAAUCUUCGGCAAUGGACGGAAGUCUGACCGAGCAACGCCGCGUGAGUGAAGAAGGUUUUCGGAUCGUAAAGCUCUGUUGUAAGAGAAGAGCGAGUGUGAGAGUGGAAAGUUCACACUGUGACGGUAGCUUACCAGAAAGGGACGGCUAACUACGUG
rnacentral:rRNA from 1 species